CCUCCUCCCCUCUCUCAUCCACUACACACAAAUUUCUCAUAUUUGUGUAUGUUGAUGUUUUGUAUUUAGGCGCAUAAGGUGUUUGAGGAAAAUCCAAAGAGGCUGUAGCGUGCUCGCAUUCACCUGUGGAGGAACCAUCACCUACGGGCAUGAGAGGGAAAAAUCCUUCAUUGACCAGGGUGUCGUCUGCAGUAGCUAAAUCAUAUGAGGCUAUCUUCGAUGCAGUCUGCUGGCUAUGGUGCCUGGUGAUGAUAGAUAAUAUGAUACCUUUUAUCAUUUCGGGAUCUGCUCAUACCAUCCAUGAAGCUGUUGUUUAUAUUAUGAGGUUGCUGUAAUGGCCGCUGGCUAAGGGACUACGGCGGCUUGGAGAAGGAUGAGCCCCGUAUUCUGGAUCAUCACGGGAGAAGCUGACAAAUAUUUCUGCAAGAUGAAAAGUCUGUGCUCUUGAUACUUCAAUUCAUACAAGAAAAUUGAGCACGAGCGGAUGAUAAAGAUGCAAAGAGGUUGAGAUGGGGAUGGGGAUG